rnacentral:rRNA from 1 species
UACGUAGGGAGCAAGCGUUGUCCGGAAUUAUUGGGCGUAAAGAGCUCGUAGGCGGUUUGUCGCGUCUGCUGUGAAAACUCAGGGCUUAACCCUGAGCCUGCAGUGGGUACGGGCAGACUAGAGUGUGGUAGGGGAGAUCGGAAUUCCUGGUGUAGCGGUGGAAUGCGCAGAUAUCAGGAGGAACACCGGUGGCGAAGGCGGAUCUCUGGGCCAUAACUGACGCUGAGGAGCGAAAGCAUGGGGAGCGAACAGG